rnacentral:rRNA from 1 species
GCGGAGGGAUCAUUACGAGAGUGUCACCACUCCCAACCCAUUGUUUACCUACCCGUCCACCGUGCUUCGGCAGGCAGCCCUGUGGGACAGAGCCUCGCCCCCCUCGCGGGGGGUGCCUGCCGCUGGCCAACCACAAACUCUUGUUAUUUUAGUACCAUCUGAGUCUUCCACAAAUGAACAAAACUUUCAACAACGGAUCUCUUGGUUCUGGCAUCGAUGAAGAACGCAGCGAAAUGCGAUAAGUAAUGUGAAUUGCAGAAUUCAGUGAAUCAUCGAAUCUUUGAACGCACAUUGCGCCCACUAGUAUUCUGGUGGGCAUGCCUGUUCGAGCGUCAUUUCAACCCUCAAGCCUGGCUUGGUGUUGGGGUUCUGCGCAUGCAGUCCCCUAAAUUCAGUGGCGGACACGCUAGGUCUCCGAGCGCAGUAACUUUUCUCGCUUCGGGCGUCCGGCGUGGGCUUGCCUUGCACCCAUACUUCUCAAGGUUGACCUCGGAUCAGGUAGGAUUACCCGCUGAACUUAAGCAUAUCAAUAAGCGGAGGAAAAGAAACCAACAGGGAUUGCCCCAGUAACGGCGAGUGAAGCGGCAACAGCUCAAAUUUGAAAUCUGGCGCAAGCCCGAGUUGUAAUUUGCAGAGGAUGCUUUUGGCGCGGUGCCUCCUGAGUUCCCUGGAACGGGACGCCGGAGAGGGUGAGAGCCCCGUACAGUUGGACACCAAGCCUUUGUAAAGCUCCUUCGACGAGUCGAGUAGUUUGGGAUGCUGCUCAA